GACGAACGCUGGCGGCGUGCUUAACACAUGCAAGUCGAACGGAAAGGCGCGGCUCUUGUGGGGUGCUCGAGUGGCGAGCGGGGGAGUAACACGUGAGUAUCCCGCCCUUGACGUUGGGGUAACAUCAGGAAACUGGGGCUAAUACCGCAUAGGAGCUCCUGCUGCAUGGGGGGGGUUGGAAAGUGUCGGCGGUUGGGGAUGGACUCGCGGCUUAUCAGCUUGUUGGUGUGGUAGUGGAUUACCAAGGUUGUGACGGGUAGCCCGCCUGGGAGGGGGACCGGGGACAAUGGGACUACGGGACGCAGCAGACGGCUACGGGAGGCAGCAGGGGGGAGUCUGGCACAACGGGGGGACGUCUGUGGCAGCGACGCCGCGUGCGGGAUGACGGCCUUUGGGUUGUAAACCGCUGUGGCAUGUGACGAAGAGGGAGUGACGGUAACGGGUAAAGAAGCAACGGCUAACUACGUG
rnacentral:rRNA from 1 species